rnacentral:rRNA from 1 species
GCCGGGGGGUAAGUUUUGUUAUAUCUAGGCACCGCCGUAAUGAUUAAUAGGCAGGACCGCCGUAAUGUUUAAUAGGGAAAGUCGGGGGCGUCAGUAUUGAGCUGUCAGAGGUGAAAUUCUAGGAUUUGCUGAAGACUAACUACUGCGAAAGCAUUCGCCAAGGAUGUUUUCAUUAAUCAGGGAACGAAAGUUAGGGGAUCGAAGACGAUCAGAUACCGUCGUAGUCUUUACCAUAAACUAUGCCGACUAGGGAUCGGACGGUGUUUCUAUUAUGACCCGUUCGGCACCUUACGAGAAAUCAAAGUUUUUGGGUUCUGGGGGCAGUAUGGUCGCAAGGGUGAAACUUAAAGAAUUUGACGGAAGGCCACCACCAGGCGUGGAGCCUGCGGCUUAAUUAGACUCAACACGGGGAAACUCACGAGGUCCAGACUAAAUAAGGAUUGACAGAUUGAGAGCUCAUUCUUGAUCUUUAGGAUGGUGGUGCAUGGCGGUUCUUAGUUGGUGGAGUGAUUAGUCUGCUUAAUUGCGAUAACGAACGAGACCUCGGGCCUUAAAUAGCCCGGUCCGCAUUUGCGGGCCGCUGGCUUCUUACGGGGACUAUCGGCUCAAGCCGAUGGAAGUGCGCGGCAUUAACAGGUCUGUGAUGCCCUUAGAUGUUCUGGGCCGCACGCGCGCUACACUGACAGGGCCAGCGAGUACAUCACCUUGGCCGAGAGGUCUUGUUAAUACUUUUUUAAAACCGG